GCGGGAAUGCUGGAAUUGGCAGACAGGCAUGACUAAGGAUCAUGUGGUUGAAUUACCGUGAGGGUUCAAGUCCCUUUUCCCGCA
rnacentral:tRNA from 1 species